ensembl:lncRNA
UUUCCUGACGGGGAGCUUUGCAUGCUGGGACUUGUGGUUUCCGAGGGUUCGUGCACAGGGGCUGCCGGGACCCGUCGCCGCGGUUUAGGAGGCUGUGGGCGGUCUGAUGGAGGGCGGGGUCUUGGUGGCGGGGAGCUUCUUUGGGGCUGAGGCGAAAUGGGAACCUCAAGUAGGACAAGGCUACAGGCAACUGGGAAGAUGGAGUCUCGGUGUAAUUCUGCUUUCGAGCUGUCGUGGCAGCGCGGUAGCCCCUUCGCACCCAGGGGAACGGUGUGUCCCUUAGAAGUUGCAUGGAGUGGAAGUUAAUUCGGCGCUAGCAGGGCCGCGUUUCCUGCCUGGCGACUAAGGCCAUGCCCCACAGAGGCAGACACACUCGCCUGCCUGCAGAGGAUUGAGGCACCCAGUAUAUGCAAAGUAGCCUGAGGACUUGCUGUUGGAUGGGGCCAGUCCCUAGGGCGGGCUACCUGCCCUGGCUGAGCUGGAUUAAAUCUGGGAUCUAGUGGAUGUGGCAGACCCCUGGGCCUGUACACGCCAGGGGAAGAACUCCAAUGGCAUCUGCCAGCUUCUGUGUCAGUGUGCCUGUACUACAUCAGAAUAAUGGCUGCUGCUGAUGUCUCAGUCUCCAGAGAGAUCUCACCUCUCACCAAGAUGCACCCAGAGCAUAUCAGGGAGUUGACCUUACACGAUUGGAUUGCUGGUUAAGCGGACUCUGUAAGGCUGACACUGGAGCUGGAAGUCCAGAGGACAGGCAGACAGGAAAGGAAGAUGGAUGUAAAGUGGGGGAGAGCAAGAUCAAGUUGGAGCUCCCAAGGACAGACUGAAACCCCUGUCAGUUCCCCUUCCUCAGAUCUUGAGGGUAUGAGUGUCCUGAAAAUCCACGCCCCUUGAGAUGGAGCUAAUCACGCCGGCCUGACCCAGGAGUUGGAAAGAUGGAGGAGGAUCCUGGGGCGGGUAGGGCAGCUGGAAGCCCGGAUGCUGCCUCACAGCAAUGAGCUCACCCAGCAGAUAAGCAACGGUAUGCACAAACUACAAAAACUUCCUCCAGAUCUCGCUUCAGACUCUCUCCUGUGGUCCUCCCCAACAGGAAACACACAGGAAGGGGACUUCUGGGAAAGGUAAUUUGGCCUUGCCACCACAUGUGAUAUUUCAAUUUAAACAAAAUUUUAAUCAAGAGGACAUGGUGAUAAAGAUAGCUGAAAAUCACCUGGAAAAAGCAGCAUCCAUACUUGGUGGAUUGAGAUCUAGUUUGUUGUGGGGUCCACGGCCCAGAAGAGUUUCGUAAACUUUGCUUAGUGGAGACUAUGUCCGGCCAGGCCUCAGCAGAAAACAAAUCCCUUUCAGGUGGGAUUUUGACAAGAAUCUAUGACAUCUACAUCGAUGAGGGCAGGGUGAAGAGAACCAAGGAGGAGAACUAAGGCAACCACAUCAAGUACCCCAGGAAGCCUUUCCUCCCCGACAACUCUGAGCAGGCUGGAGCUCAUGGGAGCCGCGAUGGUUAGGGACGCGGCUAAUGCCACAACCUCGGCGUCACCUGGAAGGAGUAGAGGAAAAGCACCCGAGCCAGCCUCAUCCUGCCUUCGGGGCUCCUACCGAAGCCUCCCUCGGCUCAGAGCAGCAGACAGAAUGGCUGAAAACGGGUCUGGGGCACACACGACGGAGAGCUGGCACAGGGGAUGAUAGCCAGUUCAGCCAAACUUCCUAACAUUUUGCCAAAGAACUUGAAAUAGUUAUGAUGAUAAAUAAUCUGGUGUAUGGUUUACAUUUUCUGUGAAACUUGCUCUUUUCCACUGGUGUUGAAACAUAUUCCUCAUCAUCUUGACAAAUGCCAUUAAUUUUCAUUUUUCUUCGAAUGGAACAUUGCCCUAUAAGUUAUUUUCAUAGCAAAGAGUGACUCAGCUCUCAAUAAAAGUGAUUUAUGG